ensembl:lncRNA
GGAGAAAUUCUCAUUAGAAUGUUAUUUAUGUUAAAUCCAUUUAAAUGAUGUAAUUAGACAACGUUAUGAUCAACGACUUUAUCACCAUGUUGUUCCAUUUAUUUAAAGGAACGCUGUUUUUUUAAUGCAGCAAAAUGGCAGAUCAUCAUCAAUGAUUCACUCUGUGAGUGCUAGUGUGUGUGUGAGAGUGUGUGUGUGUGUGUGUGUGUGUGUGUGUGUGUGUGUGAGAGUGUGUGUGUGUGUGAGAGUGUGUGAGAGUGUGUGUGAGAGUGUGUGUGAGAGUGUGUGAGAGUGUGUGUGAGAGUGUGUGUGAGAGUGUGUGUGAGAGUGUGUGUGAGAGUGUGUGUGAGAGUGUGUGUGAGAGUGUGUGUGAGAGUGUGUGUGAGAGUGUGUGUGAGAGUGUGUGUGUGAGAGUGUGUGUGUGAGAGUGUGUGUGAGUGUGUGUGUGUGAGAGUGUGUGUGAGAGUGUGUGUGAGAGUGUGUGUGAGAGUGUGUGUGAGAGUGUGUGUGAGAGUGUGUGUGAGAGUGUGAGAGUGUGUGAGAGUGUGAGAGUGUGUGUGAGUGUGUGAGAGAGUUGGACGGACUUGCUUUUAGAGUUUGAUUUUUGUGUAAAAGUUGCAUACCCUUCAGAUAAAAGUAGAACACCACCAAAUACGCCAACAAUACAUUUAGCGUGUCUGUUUUUCCAGACGUCUCCGACGUCCUCAGUAACGUCAGGGUCUAUGUUAAGAUGUUCAGUAGGGUAUUUCUGUUCAAGUCCCCCAGACCUGCUCGAGAACUAUUUAAACACCAGCAUCGACAUCUACUGCAUGAAUAAGUCCAAACGGCGAGAUGGUGAGAGAACCCGGAUCUCUCGAAGGCUAAUACCGGUUCCCUUAAGUGGAGCAGAGACAGCAAACUGUAUUCUGAAGAGCUAUACGUUCGUCUCGGGAGACAGGAUGGACUCGGUUAGGGCCGAGAGUCGGCGUGCCAUGAGUGAGAAUAUGAUGGAGAAUUAGAAUCUAUGUAGAUUUGAGAUUGGGGUUGCACUCACUCACACACUCGCAUAUUCACACACACUCACAUAUUCACACACUCACAUAUUCACACACACUCACAUAUUCAUACACACUCACAUAUUCACACACACAUGCUCAUUAACUCACAUAUUCACACACGCUCACUCACUCACUCACUCACUCUCAUAUUCACACACACUCACAUAUUCACACACUCACACAUUCACACACACUCACUCGCUCACUCACUCUCAU